UAGACUUUGACCGUAUUCAUUGUUUCUUCUUCCUCUUUCUCCGUGACGCUCUUUCAGUACUCUGUACGAUCUGUGAAAUCUCUCAGCUCAGACACCGUCGUCCUUCUCUCUUUCGACGCUUCUUCAGGGGAUUUCCUUUUCCUUCUCCUUUCUGAGUUUUGAGUUUUCGUUGACGGAGUGAAUUUUUGGAGAUCUGUUUGUGGAUAAGGGUGGAACAGCAUGCGGUGGUGUUUGAGUCUAUCAGUUGAUGUUUUUCGCAAAGUCAUUUCGUUGAAUUUAUACUGUAAAGUUAUUCUGUAAUUUUUCUCCGAUCGAAGCGAUCGAUCUUCCUUUCUCCCUCUUCAUAUUCUUCAACAGUUAUCAUCCAUGGGAUCCAGUUUUUUCGUCGUCGUUCCAUGUUAUGUCCUCCAGAUUAGUUGAAAUUUUUUAUCUGUUUCUCUUGACCUUCGUUUUCUUUGAGAAAUUAGGUUUAGUUUUCCUACUUCCAUUUUCAGUCUUCUUUUAUUCAAG